CACGUAGGGGGGCUAGCGUUGUCCGGAAUCAUUGGGCGUAAAGAGCGUGUAGGCGGCCCCGGUAAGUCCGCUGUGAAAAGUCGAGGGGCUCAACCCUCGAAUGCCGGCGGAUACUGUCGGGCUAGAGUCCGGAAGAGGCGAGUGGAAUUCCUGGUGUAGCAGUGAAAUGCGUAGAGAUGUGGAGGAACACCGAUGGCGAAGGCAGCCCCCUGGGUCAACACUGACGCUCAUGCACGAAAGCGUGGGGGGAGCAAACAGG
rnacentral:rRNA from 1 species